rnacentral:rRNA from 1 species
GACGAACGCUGGCGGCGUGCUUAACACAUGCAAGUCGAGCGGUAAGGCCCUUUCGAGGGUACACGAGCGGCGAACGGGUGAGUAACACGUGGGUGACCUGCCCUCAGCUCUGGGAUAAGCCCGGGAAACUGGGUCUAAUACUGGAUAUUACUCUGCGGUGCAUGCCGUGGGGUGGAAAGCCUUGUGCGGCUGGGGAUGGGCCCGCGGCCUAUCAGCUUGUUGGUGGGGUGGUGGCCACCAAGGCGGCGACGGUAGCCGGCCUGAGAGGGCGACCGGCCACACUGGGACUGAGACACGGCCCAGACUCC